AUUGCAUCAGUAACGGCGAGUGAAGCGGCAAAAGCUCAAAUUUGAAAUCUAGCACUUUCAGUGUUCGAGUUGUAAUUUGAAGAAGGUAACUUUGGUUUUGGCUCUUGUCUAUGUUCCUUGGAACAGGACGUCACAGAGGGUGAGAAUCCCGUGCGAUGAGAUGCCCAAUUCCAUGUAAAGUGCUUUCGAAGAGUCGAGUUGUUUGGGAAUGCAGCUCUAAGUGGGUGGUAAAUUCCAUCUAAAGCUAAAUAUUGGCGAGAGACCGAUAGCGAACAAGUACAGUGAUGGAAAGAUGAAAAGAACUUUGAAAAGAGAGUGAAAAAGUACGUGAAAUUGUUGAAAGGGAAGGGCUUGAGAUCAGACUUGGUAUUUUGCGUUCCCUUCCUUUUUGGUUGGGUUCCUCGCAGUUUACUGGGCCAGCAUCGGUUUGGAUGGUAGGAUAAUGACAUUGGAAUGUAGCUUUACUUCGGUGAAGUGUUAUAGACUUUGUUGAUACUGCCUAUCUAGACCGAGGACUGCGUCUUUGACUAGGAUGCUGGCGUAAUGAUCUUAAGCCACCCGUCUUA
rnacentral:rRNA from 1 species